rnacentral:rRNA from 1 species
AUUGAACGCUGGCGGCAUGCUUUACACAUGCAAGUCGAACGGUAACAGGUUAAGCUGACGAGUGGCGAACGGGUGAGUAAUGCAUCGGAACGUGCCCGAUCGUGGGGGAUAACGCAGCGAAAGCUGCGCUAAUACCGCAUACGAUCUGAGGAUGAAAGCGGGGGACCGUAAGGCCUCGCGCGAUCGGAGCGGCCGAUGUCAGAUUAGGUAGUUGGUGGGGUAAAGGCUCACCAAGCCAACGAUCUGUAGCUGGUCUGAGAGGACGACCAGCCACACUGGGACUGAGACACGGCCCAGACUCCUACGGGAGGCAGCAGUGGGGAAUAUUGGACAAUGGGGGCAACCCUGAUCCAGCAAUGCCGCGUGUGUGAAGAAGGCCUUCGGGUUGUAAAGCACUUUAGUUGGGGAAGAAGGUGUAUUGUUUAAGAGAUGAUACAUUUGACUGUACCCAAAGAAUAAGCACCGGCUAACUCUGUGCCAGCAGCCGCCGUAA